UACGGAGGGUGCAAGCGUUAAUCGGAAUUACUGGGCGUAAAGCGUGCGCAGGCGGUUUUGUAAGUCUGUCGUGAAAUCCCCGGGCUCAACCUGGGAAUUGCGAUGGAGACUGCAAGGCUAGAAUCUGGCAGAGGGGGGUAGAAUUCCACGUGUGAGCAGUGAAAUGCGUAGAGAUGUGGAGGAACACCGAUGGCGAAGGCAGCCCCCUGGGUCAAGAUUGACGCUCAUGCACGAAAGCGUGGGGAGCAAACAGG
rnacentral:rRNA from 1 species